UACAACAUAGCGUUAAUGCACCAGAUCCCAUUAGAAAUCCAUAGUUAAGCGCACUCAUGAUAUAAUAGUACUGGGGUAGGUGGCCUCAAGGGAAGUACUAGUGUUUUAA
rnacentral:rRNA from 1 species